AGAACUCCGUCACAUGGCCCCGCCCACUGCAAGGGAGGAUGGGCAAUGGAGUCCGGCCCUGGGUCCCGGAGGAAGCCGCAGCCGCAAGCACUGGUGGUCACUAACCACACCUGCCUCGACCCUCCGCCGUGACCUCAGCCUACCCAGCUCCUGUGGUCACUUCCAACCUCACCCUGGUCUGCGUGGCUGACCCCCAGCGCCCGGCCCAGUCCAUGAGGAGCAUCGGUGGGACCCCCCGGGCCUGAUGGCCAGACCCUCUUCAUUUCCAGUCUCUCCGGGGCACACUCAGUGGUCUAUACCCGCAAGGCCUCCAACUCCGUUUCCAGCUCGCACAGCAGCGUGGACCCCGGCCUCACUCUCAGAGCACUGGAGCUUCCUUCCUUGCCUCAGACUCGGCCCCUCCGCCUGCUGGACUCUCGCCUGACCCACCCCUGCACCUGCCAGGGCUCAGGUUUGAUGUCUUCUCUUCCAGGAAGCCCUCCCUGACCUCCAAACUGGGUCAUGUGCCUCCUCUGGGCUCCCCAAACCCUGCCCAUGCUGGGUUGGCACUGCUGGGGGACAAGCCCCUCUAUCCUACCAGACUGUGAGCUCUCGUGGGCAGGGCUGGGGAUGUCGUGGUCACUACUGUGUCCCCAACACUACUAAGCACAGGGAUCCCCACAGAAGAGAUGUUCAAGGAAUAUUUGUUAAUGAAUAAGAAAGUGAAUGAA